rnacentral:lncRNA from 1 species
GCCAUCCAAUCCACGUUGAGAGUCAGGGAGGAUGUUGCAACUCGAGAUGCUCUUAGAAGAGCCCUCCCCCGGACCAGCGGUUGACUCAUCGAUGGCAAAGCCGGCCAACCCGGCUGGCACCGCAGUUCCACCCCGGCUCUGUGGUUACCCGUGGUGGGAUGGCCGCACGGUCUGAAACAACACAUCACGGCCGUGCCUCUGCCCGCCCCAGCUGCUGCUCGUCAGCCCUGCGCGGGGGACCCUCUCGGGCAGUGUCUGCGGCAAGUUCAAGUGCCUCCUUGAGGAUGCAUCUUAGAGAAGUGACAUUCUUUCCCUGUCCUCCGUGGAUUCCUUCCCCAGCUCUACCGUCCUGUGGACGUCUUCACCCCAGACCCCAGCUGGCUCAGAGACAUUGCUAGUCGAUCACGGAAUUAUUUACACCGAGCGGGACGUGGCCUUAAAAUGGGGCGACCAUAUCGUUUACUGUGCAAACUGAGG